AGGGCCGCGCCGGAUCCUGGGCUCUGUCCCCCAGCGCCCUGGGCUCCGGGGCCUGCGCCGCUGGGAUCCUGCUCCCGGGCCGCGCAGCCCCCU
rnacentral:pre_miRNA from 1 species